UUAUGGCCAUAUCACAUUGAAACACCAGUUCCUGAAUGAUCACAAAAGUCAAGCAACAUUGAGCCUGGUCAGUAACUAGAUGGGUGACUGCUUGAGAAUACCAGGUGUUGUAAG